GGCCCCGUAGUUCAAUGGAUAGAAUAGAAGUUUCCUAAACUUUAGAUGCAAGUUCGAUUCUUGCCGGGGUCA
rnacentral:tRNA from 5 species